rnacentral:tRNA from 1 species
GGGGCUGUGGCUCAGUGGUAGAGCGCUCGCCUAGCAUGUGUGAGGCCCUGGGUUCGAUCCUCAGCACCACA